rnacentral:rRNA from 1 species
GACGAACGCUGGCGGCGUGCUUAACACAUGCAAGUCGAACGAUGAAGUGGAGCUUGCUCCACCGAUUAGUGGCGAACGGGUGAGGAACACGUGAGAAACCUGCCUCGGAUUUUGGGAUAACAAAUGGAAACGUUUGCUAAUACCAAAUAACGUCGGAGAGUCACAUGGCUUUCUGACGAAAGGAAUUCCGAUUCGAGAGGGUCUCGCGGCCUAUCAGCUUGUUGGCGGGGUAAUGGCCCACCAAGGCAACGACGGGUAGGCUGGUCUGAGAGGAUGGUCAGCCACACUGGGACUGAGACACGGCCCAGACUCCUACGGGAGGCAGCAGUGGGGAAUCUUGCGCAAUGGGCGAAAGCCUGAUCCAGCAAUGCCGCGUGAGUGAUGAAGGCCU